GUUUUUUUUAUAUUGUUAAGGAGACUUUCAGCCCUAGGCUGGCCUGUCUCCGGGAUUGUGACAUGGGACAAUGGCGUUUUCCGUGAAGUGAAAAGACGUAUUGCUUUUGUGAAUAUGACUUUCUACGGAUUACUUAUACCAUCUUAGCCACCACAACAUGCAGACGGAAACAAAAUUUACUCUGCGUAAAACUCUGAUUGUAUCAGUGGCCCUUUCUGAAAUUUAUAAAGCAUGGAUAUUAAAAGGGAAAGACCGGACAGUUUUCGGGGUUUUUAAGCGAAUAAUGCUGCAUACAAUACUAGGUGGGAAACCAGCAAAUGGUGUGUGGCACAGACGAAUGAAUCACGAGCUGUAUCAGGUGUUCAAAGAAGAAAAUAUUGUGAAUCGAAUUAAAUACGCCAGACUUUAGUGGGCUGGUCACUUAGUGCGAAUGUCGGAAGAAUGAAUAGCGAAUAUACAACAGAGAACCGGAUAGAGGCCGGUGACUUCGUGGACGACCAUGGACACGCUGCCUGCACGAGGUGGAAUCGGACUUGGGACUGGAGGAACAUCGCCCAAGACAGUCGAUUGUGGAGCUCUACAAUACGCUAGGCAAAGUGUAUCGACGCUGUAGCCAACCAGGUGUCUAGAUCAUAUUGUUCGUGCUACCACCAGAUCGUGUAAAAAAAUACCUAUAAAAACUUCAGGAGCGAUUUUCAACUAAUGAUCGACUUGAUAUUAUCAUGGUACUUCAAAAUUCUUCUGCAAUUGUUGACUUCAACUAUGUCAAAUAAACACGGUGAGGGCGUCGUUGAAGUUUAUGGCCCGAUGUCAUUAUCCUACAAGAUUACAAACAGAUCAGUAGAAAACAUUUCCAACCAAAUGAACAAAUGCAUUUAAUAUUACUGUUAACGAAGCAAAAAUGCAUCACUUGUGUUUUAUAUUUUAAUUUGAAGUAAAAGAUUUAAUUUAAAAAAGAAGGAAAAGGAGCAAGUGUAGUUAUAUGAACACAGUUGCUUUCAUGAAUUGCAACACGAAGAAGAUAAUUGAAAUUCAGAAAACCUACAGAUGUAAAAUUAAAAAAAGCUAAAUAUUCAAAUUUAUCUGUAAAAUGUUUC